UGGCGAACGGGUGAGUAACGCGUGAGGAACCUGCCUCAAAGAGGGGGACAACAGUUGGAAACGACUGCUAAUACCGCAUAAGCCCACGACCCGGCAUCGGGUAGAGGGAAAAGGAGCAAUCCGCUUUGAGAUGGCCUCGCGUCCGAUUAGCUAGUUGGUGAGGUAACGGCCUACCAAGCCGACGAUCAGUAGCCGACCUGAGAGGGUGACCGGCCACAUUGGGACUGAGACACGGCCCAA
rnacentral:rRNA from 1 species